rnacentral:rRNA from 1 species
UACGUAGGGUGCAAGCGUUGUCCGGAAUUAUUGGGCGUAAAGAGCUCGUAGGCGGUCUGUCGCGUCGGCUGUGAAAUCCCGGAGCUCAACUCCGGGCCUGCAGUCGAUACGGGCAGACUGGAGUUCGGCAGGGGAGACUGGAAUUCCUGGUGUAGCGGUGAAAUGCGCAGAUAUCAGGAGGAACACCGGUGGCGAAGGCGGGUCUCUGGGCCGAACUGGACGCUGAGGAGCGAAAGCUGGGGAGCGAACAGG